rnacentral:rRNA from 1 species
UACAGAGGGGGCAAGCGUUGUUCGGAAUUACUGGGCGUAAAGCGUGCGCAGGCGGUUAUGCAAGACAGAGGUGAAAUCCCCGGGCUCAACCUGGGAACUGCCUUUGUGACUGCAUAGCUAGAGUACGGUAGAGGGGGAUGGAAUUCCGCGUGUAGCAGUGAAAUGCGUAGAUAUGCGGAGGAACACCGAUGGCGAAGGCAAUCCCCUGGACCUGUACUGACGCUCAUGCACGAAAGCGUGGGGAGCAAACAGG